AGAGUUCGAUCCUGGCUCAGGAUGAUUUCUGGCGGCAUGCCUAACACAUGCAAGUCGAACGGGGUUUAUAUAACAGAACUCUCCGGAGGGAAGAUAUAUAAACACUAGUGGCGGACGGGUGAGUAACGCGUGGGUAACCUGCCCCAUACCGGGGGGAUACCACCUGGAAACAGGUGCUAAUACCGCAUAAGCGCACGGGAGCGCAUGCUCCUGUGUGAAAAACUCCGGUGGUAUGGGAUGGACCCGCGUCUGAUUAGCCAGUUGGCAGGGUAACGGCCUACCAAAGCGACGAUCAGUAGCCGGCCUGAGAGGGUGGACGGCCACAUUGGGACUGAGACACGGCCCAAACUCCUACGGGAGGCAGCAGUGGGGAAUAUUGCACAAUGGGGGAAACCCUGAUGCAGCGACGCCGCGUGAGUGAAGAAGUAUUUCGGUAUGUAAAGCUCUAUCAGCAGGAACGAGACAAGACGGUACCUGACUAAGAAGCCCCGGCUAACUACGUGCCAGCAGCCGCGGUAAUACGUAGGGGGCAAGCGUUAUCCGGAAUCACUGGGUGUAAAGGGAGCGUAGACGGCUGUGCAAGCCUGAAGUGAAAGGCGGGGGCCCAACCCCCGGACUGCUUUGGGAACUGUACGGCUGGAGUGCAGGAGAGGUAAGUGGAAUUCCUAGUGUAGCGGUGAAAUGCGUAGAUAUUAGGAGGAACACCAGUGGCGAAGGCGGCUUACUGGACUGUAACUGACGUUGAGGCUCGAAAGCGUGGGGAGCAAACAGGAUUAGAUACCCUGGUAGUCCACGCCGUAAACGA
rnacentral:rRNA from 1 species